GAUGAAGAACGUAGCGAACUGCGAUAAGUAAUGUGAAUUGCAGAAUUCAGUGAAUCAUCGAGUCUUUGAACGCACAUUGCGCCCCCUGGCAUUCCGGGGGGCAUGCCUGUCCGAGCGUCAUUGCUGCCAUUCAAGCCCGGCUUGUGUGUUGGGUCGUCGUCCCCCCCGGGGGACGGGCCCGAAAGGCAGCGGCGACACCGCGUCCGGUCCUCGAGCGUAUGGGGCUUUGUCACCCGCUCGAUUAGGGCCGGCCGGGCGCCAGCCGGCGUCUCCAACCUUCUAUUUUACCAGGUUGACCUCGGAUCAGGUAGGGAUACCCGCUGAACUUAAGCAUAUCAAUAAGCGGAGGA
rnacentral:misc_RNA from 1 species